CAAACAAUGGCCAAAAUUGGCGUUUUUUGCAUUUUUCACACACAAACAAAUACUAACGUUAACUUUGGCCAGUGUUUGUGACCAAAUGGCUACUAAAAAAGACUGGACAUACCCCAUUUGCAAUACCUUGGGUUGUCUACUAUUGCAAAUGGUAUGCCAUUAUGGGUGUAAAUUUCAUUCCUGGGCUACUAUACAGUCUCAAAUGCAACGUAACUAAUCUGGUGAAUUUCAAUUUCAAAUGUAACGUGUUAUAUUUGACCCUGUAACUUCCCAAAAUGCCAUAAACCCUGUACAUAGGGGGUACUGUAUUACACGUGAGACUUUGCUGAAUACAAAUAUGUGUAUUUUAUUGCAGUAAAAGCAAACAGUAUUAUGACAUUGAAAGUUAAAAUCUUAUUUUCUCCCAUUUUUUUCAUAUUAAAUUUUGUUUC